rnacentral:lncRNA from 1 species
GGGAAGGGUGGUGCUUCAGCCACAGCCGCUAUUGCUAUGAUGGCUCCAGUUCUGGACAAGCUGACCUAAAACCAGCCAGCACAGCAGGUGCUAGCCCCUUGCACUUCCUCAGUGGCUCUCUCUGUGGCCCAAGGCCAUUCAGGUGCGUCGACUUCUCUCUUUAAGGACCCCCGAUUUGCCUUCCACCUCUCUGGCCUCAGACUUGUCUCUUUGGUCUAUUUU